GGAUGAGCCCGCGGCCUAUCAGCUUGUUGGUGGGGUAAUGGCCUACCAAGGCUUCGACGGGUAGCCGGCCUGAGAGGGUGACCGGCCACACUGGGACUGAGACACGGCCCAGACUCCUACGGGAGGCAGCAGUGGGGAAUAUUGGACAAUGGGCGAAAGCCUGAUCCAGCAACGCCGCGUGAGGGAUGACGACCUUCGGGUUGUAAACCUCUUUCAGCACAGACGAAGCGAAAGUGACGGUAUGUGCAGAAGAAGCACCGGCCAACUACGUGCCAGCAGCCGCGGUAAUACAUAGGGUGCGAGCGUUGUCCGGAAUUAUUGGGCGUAAAGGGCUCGUAGGCGGUUUGUUGCGUCAGGAGUGAAAACUCGGGGCUUAACCCCGAGCCUGCUUCUGAUACGGGCAGACUUGAGGUAUGCAGGGGAGAACGGAAUUCCUGGUGUAGCGGUGAAAUGCGCAGAUAUCAGGAGGAACACCGGUGGCGAAGGCGGUUCUCUUGGGCAUUACCUGACGCUUGAAGA
rnacentral:rRNA from 1 species